rnacentral:rRNA from 1 species
UACAGAGGUCUCAAGCGUUGUUCGGAUUCAUUGGGCGUAAAGGGUGCGUAGGUGGCGCCGUAAGUCAGGUGUGAAAUCUCGGGGCUCAACCCCGAAACUGCACUUGAUACUGCGGUGCUCGAGUACUGGAGAGGAGAUUGGAAUUUACGGUGUAGCAGUGAAAUGCGUAGAUAUCGUAAGGAAGACCAGUGGCGAAGGCGAAUCUCUGGACAGUUCCUGACGCUGAGGCACGAAGGUCAGGGGAGCAAACA